rnacentral:rRNA from 1 species
AGCUCCAAUAGCGUAUAUUAAAGUUGUUGCGGUUAAACGCUCGUAGUUGGAGUUCUGUUAAGACCUGCCGGUCUACCCCUUGUGGUGUGUACAUGGCUGUUUUUGACAUCAUUCUGGAGAACUAGUACGCACUUUACUGUGUGACCUUGGGAUCCAGAGCUUUUACUUUGAAGAAAUGAGAGUGUUUCAAGCAGGCGCCUGCCCUGAAUACGUUAGCAUGGAAUAAUAGCAUCGGAUCUCUUCCCAAAGCUGUUGGUUCAUUGGGAUGAGGUAAUGAUAGACAGGGAUAGUUGGGGGCAUUCGUAUUUAACUGUCAGAGGUGAAAUUCUUGGAUUAGUUAAAGACGAACUACUGCGAAAGCAUUUGCCAAGGAUGUUUUCA